GUGCAUAUCAAUAAGCGGAGGAAAAGAAACCAACAGGGAUUGCCCUAGUAACGGCGAGUGAAGCGGCAACAGCUCAAAUUUGAAAUCUGGCUUCGGCCCGAGUUGUAAUUUGCAGAGGAAGCUUUAGGCGCGGCACUUUCUGAGUCCCCUGGAACGGGGCGCCAUAGAGGGUGAGAGCCCCGUAUAGUUAGAUGCCUAGCCUGUGUAAAGCUCCUUCGACGAGUCGAGUAGUUUGGGAAUGCUGCUCAAAAUGGGAGGUAAAUUUCUUCUAAAGCUAAAUACCGGCCAGAGACCGAUAGCGCACAAGUAGAGUGAUCGAAAGAUGAAAAGCACUUUGAAAAGAGGGUUAAAUAGCACGUGAAAUUGUUGAAAGGGAAGCGCUUGUGACCAGACUUGCGCCGGGCAGAUCAUCCGGUGUUCUCACCGGUGCACUCUGCCCGGCUCAGGCCAGCAUCGGUUCUCGCGGGGGGAUAAAGGCCCUGGGAACGUAGCUCCUUCCGGGUGUGUUAUAGCCCGGGGCGUAAUCCCCUCGCGGGGUGUUGGUUCGCGCUCUGCAAGGAUGCCGCGAGGUUACACUCGGUAU
rnacentral:rRNA from 1 species